GACGAACGCUGGCGGCGUGCUUAAUACAUGCAAGUCGAACGGAAAGGCCCUGCUUUUGUGGGGUGCUCGAGUGGCGAACGGGUGAGUAGCACGUGAGUAACCUGCCCUUGACUUUGGGAUAACUUCAGGAAACUGGGGCUAAUACCGGAUAGGAGCUCCUGCUGCAUGGUGGGGGUUGGAAAGUUUCGGCGGUUGGGGAUGGACUCGCGGCUUAUCAGCUUGUUGGUGGGGUAGUGGCUUACCAAGGCUUUGACGGGUAGCCGGCCUGAGAGGGUGACCGGCCACAUUGGGACUGAGAUACGGCCCAGACUCCUACGGGAGGCAGCAGUGGGGAAUAUUGCACAAUGGGCGGAAGCCUGAUGCAGCAACGCCGCGUGCGGGAUGACGGCCUUCGGGUUGUAAACCGCUUUCGCCUGUGACGAAGCGUGAGUGACGGUAAUGGGUAAAGAAGCACCGGCUAACUACGUG
rnacentral:rRNA from 1 species